UAUGCUGCCGAGAAAAGCCUCUAGUGAGUGUCGUGGCGGCCCGUACCCCAAACCGACUCAGGUGGUCAGGUAGAGAAUACCAAGGCGAUCGGGUGAACUGUGGUUAAGGAACUCGGCAAAUUGCCCCCGUAACUUCGGGAGAAGGGGGGCCUCCGCUGGUGAUCAGACUUGCUUUGUGAGCUGGUGGGGGUCGCAGAGGCCAGGGGGAAGCGACUGUUUACUAAAAACACAGGUCCGUGCGAAGUCGUAAGACGAUGUAUACGGACUGACGCCUGCCCGGUGCUGGAACGUUAAGGGGACCGGUUAGCGCAUCUUCGGGUGUGCGAGGCUGAGAACUUAAGCGCCAGUAAACGGCGGUGGUAACUAUAACCAUCCUAAGGUAGCGAAAUUCCUUGUCGGGUAAGUUCCGACCUGCACGAAUGGCGUAACGACUUCCCCGCUGUCUCAACCGCAGACCCGGCGAAAUUGCACUACGAGUAAAGAUGCUCGUUACGCGCAGCAGGACGGAAAGACCCCGGGACCUUCACUACAGCUUGACAUUGGCGUUUGGAACGUCUUGUGUAGGAUAGGUGGGAGACUGUGAAGCUGUCACGCUAGUGGUGGUGGAGUCAUUGGUGAAAUACCACUCUGGUCGUUUUGAACGUCUAACUUCGGUCCGUGAUCCGGAUCAGGGACAGUGUCUGGUGGGUAGUUUAACUGGGGCGGUUGCCUCCUAAAGAGUAACGGAGGCGCCCAAAGGUUCCCUCAGCCUGGUUGGUAAUCAGGUGUCGAGUGUAAGUGCACAAGGGAGCUUGACUGUGAGACCGACGGGUCGAGCAGGAGCGAAAGCUGGGACUAGUGAUCCGGCGGUGGCAUGUGGAAGCGCCGUCGCUCAACGGCUAAAAGGUACCCCGGGGAUAACAGGCUGAUCUUCCCCAAGAGUCCAUAUCGACGGGAUGGUUUGGCACCUUGAUGUCGGCUCGUCGCAUCCUGGGGCUGGAGUAGGUCCCAAGGGUUGGGCUGUUCGCCUAUUAAAGCGGUACGCGAGCUGGGUUUAGAACGUCGCGAGACAGUUCGGUCCCUAUCCGCUGCGCGCGCAGGAGACUUGAAAGGAGCUGUCCCUAGUACGAGAGGACCGGGACGGACGAACCUCUGGUGUGCCAGUUGUUCCGCCAGGAGCAUGGCUGGUUGGCUACGUUCGGAAGGGAUAACCGCUGAAAGCAUCUAAGCGGGAAGCUCGCCUUGAGAUGAGGUCUCCCACCACGAGAGUGGGUAAGGCCCCCGGGAGACGACCGGGUUGAUAGGCCGGAGGUGGAAGCAUGGUAACGUGUGGAGCUGACCGGUACUAAUAGGCCGAGGACUUGACCAC
rnacentral:rRNA from 1 species